rnacentral:rRNA from 1 species
CCGACGUCGUCCUCGGAGUACAAGACGUACAUCAUCCUGCUCAAGCCUCGAGCGGAUGCCCAGGUUAUGGACGACGAAGCGCGCCAGGGCUGGUACCGGUCCUUCCUCCCCGACGACUUGACCGCCCACGGCGAGCCGCGGCUCCUCCACUCGUACAACACCAUCUUCCACGGAUUCGCCGCCUUGCUGACGGAGGAGGAGCUGGACGCCGCGUCCAGGAAACCCGGCUUCGGGCGCUGGUUCCCGGACGAGAUGAUGUACCCCACGACGACCCGCUCGCCCGAGUUCCUCGGCCUGAGCAAGGACGCCGGCUUGUGGCCGAAAUCUAGCUACGGCAAAGGGAUCAUCAUCGGGGUGAUCGACUCCGGCAUCGAGUCGAACCAUCCCUCGUUCGACGACGUCGACAUGUCGCCGCCGCCCGCCAGGUGGAAGGGCACGUGCAAGGGCAUGGUCAGGCCCGUCCGGUGCAACAACAAGCUCAUUGGCGUCAGGUCCUUCGUGGACUACAACCCCGCCGAUGAGACCGGCCACGGCACGCACGUGGCGUCGAUUGCGGCGGGCAACUUCGUCGCCAACGCCUCGUCUUCCCACGGACAGGCCGCCGGGACGGCCGCCGGGAUCGCCCCCGGCGCACACGUGGCCAUGUACAAGGCCUGCAGACCUAGUGGGUGCCUCCGCUCGAACUUAAUUCGUGCGAUUGACACGGCGGUGAGCGAUGGGGUCGAUGUGAUCAACAUCUCCCUCGGCCGUAAACCGGGACUACCACUCAGCAGGGACGUUGUGGCCAUUGGCGCAUUCCGCGCGGUGGCCAAGGGCGUCGUCUUCGUGACUUCUGCUGGCAACGACGGCCCCGACCCGUCCACCGUCAAGAACGACUCGCCGUGGGAGAUCACGGUGGCUGCCGGGUCGGUGGACCGGAGGCUCGCCGCCGACCUUGUGCUGGAGUCGGGCGACCUGCUGGUGGAAGGAGAGGCGCUGGUGCAGGGGGCCAACUCGACCGCCUACCAACCCCUCCACUACCCCGGCGACGGUAACCUGUGCAAGAAGGUGAGCGCCGACCGCACGAGGGGCCACAUCGUGAUAUGCGACGAUGCGUUGGUUAACGUUGACGCUCAGGCCCGCAUCAUCAAAAAUCUCUACGACAAUGGCGCGGCUCAAGUCGUGCUCAUCGGUCCGGAGAAAGCUGGUUUCACCUUGGGCUUCAGGGAGUACGGCUCCUCCGUCGUGCAGGAGCCCGCCGCCGUCGGCCGCAAGCUCAAGGACUACAGCAAGUACCCGGAUUCCGCGGCGCAGGUGUUAUUCAAGGGCACGCAGCUCGGCGUCGGCCCAUCGCCCACGGUCAUCUACUUUUCCGGCCGUGGCCCGAGCCGCGGCAACCCACACAUUCUGAAGCCCGACAUCCUGGCGCCGGGGCUCAACAUCCUCGCCGCCGCCACGGCGAGCCCAGACCGGGGGCCUUUCAGGUUCAAGUCCGGGACGUCGAUGGCGGCGCCUCACAUCAGCGGAGUCGUCGCUCUUCUCAAGAGCAUGCACCCGGACUGGUCGCCGGCGGCCAUCAGGUCAGCCAUAAUCACCACGGCCGAUGACGUGGACAACGAGGGCAGCCGGAUCAUGAACGAGAAGCACGAGCCGGCGAGCGCCUUCGCUGUAGGCGCGGGGCACGUCAACGCCACGCGGGCCGUCGACCCGGGGUUGGUCUAUGACCUGGAGGUCAGAGACUACGCCGGGUACAUUUGCCAUCUUUUCGCCAAGCUCGACGAUGAUGACGACGACUACGCCGUGCAAGACAUCAUCCAGGACUUGAACUUGAAUUGCAAGACCGUGCCCCCUCUGUCGGACGUCGACCUCAACUACCCGAGCAUUGUGGUGCCGGCCAACACCACUGUGCGGAGGACGCUUACGAACGUGGGGCCGGCGGGGGAGUACACGGCCAGGUUGCACACACGCAUGAUCGUGUUCCAUGACGUUGGGUUGGAUUUCUCGCCCAAUUCACUGUCCUUCUCGCGGCCCGGGGAGAAGCUCACCUUCCAAGUAAGCCAUCAUGGGCCGGAGCUUGCAGAAGGAUUCUUGAUCUGGGAGUCGGAUACGCACACGGUCCAAAGCCCACUCGUUGUCGUG